UACGGAGGGGGCUAGCGUUGUUCGGAAUUACUGGGCGUAAAGCGCACGUAGGCGGAUGUGCCAGUCAGGGGUGAAAUCCCGGAGCUCAACUUCGGAACUGCCUCUGAUACAGCACGUCUUGAGUCCGGAAGAGGUGGGUGGAAUUCCUAGUGUAGAGGUGAAAUUCGUAGAUAUUAGGAAGAACACCGGUGGCGAAGGCGGCCCACUGGUCCGGUACUGACGCUGAGGUGCGAAAGCGUGGGAGC
rnacentral:rRNA from 1 species